UACAGAGGUGGCAAGCGUUGUUCGGAAUUACUGGGCGUAAAGGGCGCGUAGGCGGCCUGCUAAGUCGGAUGUGAAAUCCCUCGGCUCAACCGAGGAACUGCAUCCGAUACUGGCGGGCUUGAAUCCGGGAGAGGGAUGUGGAAUUCCAGGUGUAGCGGUGAAAUGCGUAGAUAUCUGGAGGAACACCGGUGGCGAAGGCGGCAUCCUGGACCGGUAUUGACGCUGAGGCGCGAAAGCUAGGGGAGCGAUCCGG
rnacentral:rRNA from 1 species